UACGGGGGGGGCAAGCGUUGUUCGGAAUUACUGGGCGUAAAGCGUGCGCAGGCGGUUUUGUAAGCCAGAUUUGAAAUCCCCGGGCUUAACCUGGGAAUGGCAUUUGGGACUGCAAGGCUCGAGUGCGGCAGAGGAGACUGGAAUUCCUGGUGUAGCAGUGAAAUGCGUAGAUAUCAGGAGGAACACCGAUGGCGAAGGCAGGUCUCUGGGCUGACACUGACGCUCAUGCACGAAAGCGUGGGGAGCAAACAGG
rnacentral:rRNA from 1 species